CGCACAGUUCACUUAAGCGUGGAUGUGGUAUUACGGCUCUGGACUGCUGUAAGGAAACUGGUCUUUGAAUCCCAAUUGCCUUUGUAAAAUCUGGGCGUUUUGAAGGUUCUGGUUCAAAUCAGGUGUGAGGAGUGAAGCCUGCACAGUGGAGCCCAGUCAUGGCCUUUCAAGAAGGGCGGAGCGCUAGAAUCCAAUAAUCCACGAAGAAGCUGAGAACUGGGUGCUGGUGAGUGACGCCUGAAGUCCCCAGCUAGAUGGGGAGCCUAAGGACCUGGCUGUCCCUGCUGGCCUGGCCCCGGCCUGUCUGUUUGACUCAAACAAGCUCCAGAACACAGGCCUGGACACAGUACUGGGGAGAUCCAGGGCGGGAAGGAGAGGGAGCCCUGGAGACACCCAGAGCCAGUCCUUCCACCAGUGAAAGACUACAGAGAUUAUGGCAUCUGGCAUUCAUCAAGGAGAGAAGCAAGAAAAAGUGUGUUCUCUACUUCUACUGGAAACAAUUGGCUUUUUAAAUUGUUGACACUUGAGAUGCUUGUGCUAUGCCUGGGUCUGUGGUUUCACCAGUGACUGCAGUGCAGCUUAGAGUGGAUUUGUGUGACAACGUGUACCUUGACUGCCAGGCCCGGCACAGGGCUGAAGCCAGAGCAUGCUGGCCCCUGGGGCUCUGCCGUCUGCAGUGAAGGGAUCUCCACCUCUUCCAAGUUGUCCAUCUGGAGCUGCUCUGGCCACUGACCACACACACAGGACUCCUGCCAUCUUAGCGUGGAUCUUUGUGCAUUUGGAAAGGCUGCAUUUCAUCACAAAUAAGAACAAGGCUUUGGGCUAGAUGAGAAUGCUGCCUGCAUGGGACGCGUGACCCGGAUCCAGUUACCAGGAUCCCUGAGCAAGGAGUUUUCGCCACUGUAAUAUUUCUCAUAUUCUGCGGAACUGUAAAUCCCAGCUUCCUGAACUGUGGGUCAUGACCUUUAUGAUGUCACAUAACUGAAUGUGGAGAUCACAAAAGUUUAGCAACAAAGAAUGUUCAAAACUAAAAAUGUGACGAAUUGGAGGUGUUUCUGGCAGCAGCAUUCACCUGUGUUACAUCACAAAGCACCGCAGCCUUGGUUCAGCACACACACAACAUGAACAUCUUGCACAGCCAGGCCACACAGUGUCAAUGGCAUAGCAUAAAACAUGUCCAGUCAGAUUUGGUGCUAAUGUUAUGACCUGCAGUGUUUUGACUUAGGUACAAAGUUCAUUCUGGUCUGCUUACAGAGAACAAAGACUUUCAACACUGUCCUGCUGUCAUCCCUCAGGAAUCAGAUUAGUACAUAUUUGGAUUGUGUUAAAUAUUUGAUUUUUAAAAUUGCUGUUUGAGUUUCCAACUUGAGUUCAUAAAAAAUCGUUUAGUGAAUUUGGCUUGGGAUUAGGACCAAAUUUGCAACAAUUUCUGAAAUAGACCUAUACAUAUUUCUGUCAUUUUAUACCACAUAUUUAUGUGAAAUAGCACUCUUGGCACUGAUAAUUACAAAAUAAAAAUAUUCAACUCUAAAAAACAAUGAAGCUGUUCUGUGUCCUACAGUAUCAAAUACUCAGCCAAGGUUUAAUUCUUUAUAUAAAAAUAAACAAGCAUGCCCAUUUAA